GACGAACGCUGGCGGCGUGCUUAACACAUGCAAGUCGAACGGAAAGGCCCUGCUUUUGUGGGGUGCUCGAGUGGCGAACGGGUGAGUAACACGUGAGUAACCUGCCCUUGACUUUGGGAUAACUUCAGGAAACUGGGGCUAAUACCGGAUAGGAGCUCCUGCUGCAUGGUGGGGGUUGGAAAGUUUCGGCGGUUGGGGAUGGACUCGCGGCUUAUCGGCUUGUUGGUGGGGUAGUGGCUUACCAAGGGUUUGACGGGUAGCCGGCCUGAGAGGGUGACCGGCCACCAUGGGACUGAGAUACGGCCCAGACUCCUACGGGAGGCAGCAGUGGGGAAUAUUGCACAAUGGGCGGAAGCCUGAGGCAGCAACGCCGCGUGCGGGAUGACGGCCUUCGGGUUGUAAACCGCUUUCGCCUGUGACGAAGCGUGAGUGACGGUAAUGGGUAAAGAAGCACCGGCUAACUACGUG
rnacentral:rRNA from 1 species